GGUAUUGUUAUUAAAACCACGAUAAGCCCCGGAACUUAUUGUGUCUAAGAUAAAUGAAACC
rfam:Bacillus sp. FJAT-21945 Contig3, whole genome shotgun sequence.